rnacentral:rRNA from 1 species
ACGGAGGGCGCAAGCGUUAAUCGGAAUUACUGGGCGUAAAGCGUGCGUAGGCUGUUUGGUAAGUCAGACGUGAAAUCCCUCGGCUCAACCGUGGAACUGCGCUGGAAACUGCCGAACUCGAGUGCCGGAGAGGGUGGUGGAAUUCCAGGUGUAGGAGUGAAAUCCGUAGAUAUCUGGAGGAAUACCGGUGGCGAAGGCGGCCAACUGGACGGGUACUGACGCUGAGGCACGAAAGCGUGGGGAGCAAACAG